rnacentral:rRNA from 1 species
CCCUUAGAUGUUCUGGGCUGCACGCGCGCUACACUGAUGCACUCAACGAGUUUACGACCUUGCCCGAUAGGGUUGGGUAAUCUUUUUAAAAUGCAUCGUGAUGGGGAUAGAUUAUUGCAAUUAUUAAUCUUCAACGAGGAAUUCCUAGUAAGCGCGAGUCAUCAGCUCGUGCUGAUUACGUCCCUGCCCUUUGUACACACCGCCCGUCGCUCCUACCGAUUGAGUGCUCAGGUGAAUAAUUCGGACUGCAGCAAUGUUUGGAUCCCGAACGUUGCAGCGGAAAGUUUAGUGAACCUUAUCACUUAGAGGAAGGAGAAGUCGUAGCA